rnacentral:rRNA from 1 species
CCCUUAGAUGUUCUGGGCCGCACGCGCGCUACACUGAAUGGAUCAACGUGUUUUCCCUUCCCGAGAGGGACGGGUAACCCGCUGAACCCCAUUCGUGGUAGGGAUCGGAGCUUGCAAUUGUUCUCCGUGAACCAGGAAUUCCCAGUAAGCGCAAGUCAUAAGCUUGCGUUGAUUACGUCCCUGCCCUUUGUACACACCGCCCGUCGCACCUACCGAUUGAAUGGUCCGGUGAAAUCUCGGGACGGCGGCUUGGUCGCUUGCGUCCGACUGCUGAAACUUGAUUAAACCAUAUCAUUUAGAGGAAGGUGAAGUCGUANCA